rnacentral:rRNA from 1 species
AUUGAACGCUGGCGGCAUGCUUUACACAUGCAAGUCGAACGGUAACAGGCCGCAAGGUUCUGACGAGUGGCGGACGGGCGAGUAAUGCAUCGGAACGUGCCCAGUCGUGGGGGAUAACUACUCGAAAGAGUAGCUAAUACCGCAUACGAUCUAUGGAUGAAAGCGGGGGACCGGAAGGCCUCGCGCGAUUGGAGCGGCCGAUGUCAGAUUAGGUAGUUGGUGGGGUAAAGGCUCACCAAGCCAACGAUCUGUAGCUGUUCUGAGAGGACGACCAGCCACACUGGGACUGAGACACGGCCCAGACUCCUACGGGAGGCAGCAGUGGGGAAUUUUGGACAAUGGGCGCAAGCCUGAUCCAGCAAUGCCGCGUGCAGGAAGAAGGCCUUCGGGUUGUAAAGUGCUUUUGUACGGAACGAAACGGCUCUGGUUAAUACCCGGGGCUAAUGACGGUACCGGAAGAAUAAGCACCGGCUAACUACGUG